GCUGGCGUAGCUCAGGGGUAGAGCGGCUGCCUUGUAAGCAGCAGGUCGGGGGUUCAAAUCCCUUCGCCAGCUCCA
rnacentral:tRNA from 1 species